AAGUAUAUGUAUUAGGGGUAGUCGAUAUUUAAUCUUCUACUCUAGGUAUAUGUGCCAGAGUAGAAAAAGAUUCAUGAUGAAUUUGGAUUUAGUUUAACGACUUUACGGUCGUUUGAAUUUGGAUUUAGUUUAAUGAUGUUUCGGUCGUUUGAAUUUGAAAUUAGUUUAACGACUUUACGGUCGUAUGAAUUUGGAUUUAGUUUAACGACUUUAUGGUCGUUUGAUCUUAGGUUUAGUUUAACGACUUUACAGUCGUUUAGAUUUGAGAGGCUUUGGAUUUCAGGGUUUUAUUUGUGGACUUUAGGUUUUGGGCUUUAUUUAUGGGCUUUAGGUUUUGGGAUUUUAUUUGUGGACUUUAGGUUUUGGGAUUUUAUUUGUGGACUUUAGGUUUUGAGAUUUAUUUGUGGACUUUGAUUUUGGGUUGGCUUGAACCUCUCGUAUUUGAUUUGGGAUGAA
rnacentral:lncRNA from 1 species